GAUUGUUUUCGUUUGUUCGUCUCAUUUUAAAAUUGAAAAAAAGUAUUGGGCGCGGUUGACGUUGUUUUGAUAAUAAUGUAGAGGUUAAAUCGUGAUUUGUGUGAUUGGAUGUGAGUUUAGAAGUUAGGUGGUGUAUAUUGUUAAAAAUUCCAUCAGUAAAGCGUCAAAAUAUCGGCCGACAUAUGCGUAAACAAAGUCAGGGGUAGAGUUUUCGAAAUAGGAUGAUAUUUUCUCAAGUAAGAUAAAUCAGCUUCCAGGAAGAACCCAUACCUAUGAACUUUUGGCGUUUAUAUAUGAUGCAACAAUCGCUUACGCUGGAAAAAAAUCGGUUGUUUUUUGAAAAAUGAAUACUAUUUAUCCAUAUUGCAAUGCUUUGAGGUUUUGGCUAAACCCGACAAGAUUAGUAAUGCAUGAACGGAAAGGUGAAAUUACCGAGACUAACAUCCCGAACAUUUGUUAUUGUGUUAUUGAAUAACAUAUUAAUAUACAAAUCCAAUCAGAUUCAAAGACAAUUUACCACCGUGCAGGAGCAUUGUUGCUAGGAGUUGAUGGUUUAAAAUUACUGGAGGAUGAGAAUAAUUGAGAUUAUAUACGCGCUGAUGCUCUUAUUUCAUGUACUUCGUAUCAAAUUCAUCACUUUUUGUCAUCGUUAUUUCAACCAGGUUUCCAUCAAAUCCACAUAAUUUGUAGAACACAUACAAAGACAGUAUGAUGUAUGAUAUCGUUACACGUUUUGUGUUCAAUGUCCGGCAAGAUGAUGCGGGAAUUACGAAUGCCUAGAGCCAAUCGAUCCAUCUACGAUACAAUCAAUCAUGAAUUUGAACAAGAACGACAAAAUGUCAUAAAUGUUUUAAGUCAAUCCAUACAAAGCAAUGUCUCACUUUUAAAUCGGUAGCAAAAACAGCUUAUGUAACUAUUACGAAAGCAGUAAGUGAUAGCGAUGGAGGAUUUAUUUUCUUGAUGCACACGGUGGAACCGGUAAAACUUUUUUGAUUUCAUUAAUUUUAGAGACAAUCCGUCUCAAGGUCAAAUACCACUGGCACUCGCUUCAUCCGGGAUUGCUGCUACAUUGUUAGAAGGUGGACGUACUGCUCAUUCUGCGCUUAAUCUACCAUUAAAGUUGCAAACAAUAUAUAAACCAAUAUAUACCAUAAUAUAAACAAAACGUCGGCAAUGGCAAAAGUGCUACAAAAUUGUAAAUUAAUUAUCUGGGAUGGAGUGUACGAUGUCUCACAACCGAGCACUUGAUCGAAUAUAAAAAGAUUUACGCUUCGGAGGCGCGAUGAAUCUAUUGUCUGAGGAUUUUCGCCAAACGCUGCCAGUCAUUCCCAGAUCAACUGCUGCUGAUGAAAUAAAUGCUUGCCUGAAGGCAUCAUAUUUAUAGAUAUAAGUAAAAUAACUCAAAUUAACAACCGAUAUGCGAGUGGAGUUGCAAAAUAAGAUAUCGACAGGAGUGUUUUCAAAUGCAUUAGUAGACAUUGGUUAUGGUAGAAUUCUUGUUGAAGCUUCUACUGACCUUAUUUCAUUUCCACCAAAUUUUUGUCAAUUCACAAAUUUAAAGGAAGUAUUAAUAUUAAAAAUGCUCCCAAAUAAUGGUGUGAAAUGUAAAAAUCAUGCUGGGUUGAGCAAACGAGACACUUUAGCAGCAAAAAAUUAGGAUGUAGAUGAUUUGAAUAUAAACAUUCAAAGUAAAAUUGAUGGACAAAUACAUUCAUUUAAGUCAAUAGAUACAAAUGAAGUAGUCAAUUAUCCGAUUGAAUUACUUAAUUCAUUGGAUUCGCCAGGAUUACCAGUUGCAGUUAAAGGUUGGCUCUGUGAUAAUUAUGUUACGCAACUGAAUCAACCAAAACUGUGUAAUGGAACAAGUCUAGCUGAUAAAAAAUUAUGAAAAAUUUAAUUGAAACGACUAUAAUCAUAGGAAAGUUCAAGGGCAAAGAUGUGCUUAUUCCAAGAAUACCACUACUGCCAACUCACUUUCCUUUUGAAUUAAAACUUGUACAAUGUUCCUGUUCGACAUUCGCAAUAACAAUUAAUAAAUCUCAAGGCCAAUCAUUAGAAGUGUGUGUAAUAAAUCUUGAGUUGCCAUAUUUUUUC